AGCACCCCUGCAGAGAUCUCCUGCCACCUUCAGGGUCUUCCUCUCUGGUGCUUUCCAGAUUGCCCCCUACCCCAGUGUCACCACGUACCUGUAUCUGCUAAGUGUGUUUCCGUAGCCCCGUAUGGACAGCAAGGAAAUCUCUGACCGCAGGAAUCUCCUGGAUCCUGGGUUGUGCAUCUUGCCAAACCUAUCUGGCUCUCCAGUUCCAAGCUGUUGUUCCUGGCCAAUGGUUAACCUCUGACAAACGGGAGGCAACCAGCCCAGGAGCCAGACUGUGGAGCAGCGCAGGAGCCAGAAACAAGGCUGGGCUCACUAAAUGGGAGAGCAGCGGCGGCAGCAGCAGCAGCAAAGGGAGACUUAGGCAGCAGCAAAGGAGCAGGGUCUUCCCUGCCCACCAGGAAUUGCUGAUAUUACAGAACGUUGCCCCGAUCAGUAAGUUCUGCAACAGACUGGCAGUCAGGAUGGUCGAGACGGGAGCCAGGAGCAUAGUGAAGGUCAAGCCAAGGAGCAGUCAGGAGUCAGAUGGAAGGAAGCCAAGAAACACACCAAACAGACCAGCACAAGAGGACCUUGACAUGGAGGCAGCGAGGCUGGCUGGCCUCCACCGGGAAGCCUCUUCUACCUCCUGCCAGGGGUGCAGUGUAGGGAUGUGCAUGGUCCGGCGGUCGGACGUUUCGGCUGUGUGUGUGUGGGGGGGGUUUUACCUUUAAGGAGCA